rnacentral:rRNA from 1 species
UGGGGAAUAUUGCACAAUGGGCGCAAGCCUGAUGCAGCCAUGCCGCGUGUGUGAAGAAGGCCUUCGGGUUGUAAAGCACUUUCAGCGGGGAGGAAGGCGUUAAGGUUAAUAACCUUGGCGAUUGACGUUACCCGCAGAAGAAGCACCGGCUAACUCCGUGCCAGCAGCCGCGGUAAUACGGAGGGUGCAAGCGUUAAUCGGAAUUACUGGGCGUAAAGCGCACGCAGGCGGUCUGUCAAGUCGGAUGUGAAAUCCCCGGGCUCAACCUGGGAACUGCAUUCGAAACUGGCAGGCUAGAGUCUUGUAGAGGGGGGUAGAAUUCCAAGUGUAGCGGUGAAAUGCGUAGAGAUCUGGAGGAAUACCGGUGGCGAAGGCGGCCCCCUGGACAAAGACUGACGCUCAGGUGCGAAAGCGUGGGGAGCAAACAGG